rnacentral:rRNA from 1 species
AACGAACGCUGGCGGCAUGCCUAACACAUGCAAGUCGAACGAGACCUUCGGGUCUAGUGGCGCACGGGUGCGUAACGCGUGGGAACCUGCCCUUAGGUUCGGAAUAACUCCCCGAAAGGGGUGCUAAUACCGGAUAAUGUCUUCGGACCAAAGAUUUAUCGCCUUUGGAUGGGCCCGCGUUGGAUUAGCUAGUUGGUAGGGUAAAAGCCUACCAAGGCGACGAUCCAUAGCUGGUCUGAGAGGAUGAUCAGCCACACUGGGACUGAGACACGGCCCAGACUCCUCGGGAGGCAGCAGUGGGGAAUAUUGGACAAUGGGCGAAAGCCUGAUCCAGCAAUGCCGCGUGAGUGAUGAAGGCCUUAGGGUUGUAAAGCUCUUUUACCCGGGAUGAUAAUGACAGUACCGGGAGAAUAAGCUCCGGCUAACUCCGUG